rfam:Triticum urartu cultivar G1812 contig894167, whole genome shotgun sequence.
AAGGUGGAUGAAGAGGACGUUGUGUCCCACAUCCUAGCUGGACUAGAUGAGGAGUUCGACCCCGUGGUGUCAGCCAUGUGCUCUCGGGUCGAGCCAGUCAAGGUCUCGGAGUUGUACUCGCAGCUCCUGAGCUUCGAAA